UCGCCUGUUUUUCAAAAACAUGUCCUGAAGAGUUUAAUUUCAGGUCUGGCCUGCCCAUUGAAUUUAUUUAAAAGGCCGCAGUAUUUUAACUGUGCAAAGGUAGCAUAAUCAUUAGUUUUUUAAUUGGAAGCUGGAAUGAAAGGUUGGACGAGGCAUUAACUGUUUCUUAUAUAUAAAUUAAAAUUUUAUUUUUUAGUCAAAAAGCUAAAAUUUUAUUUAAAGACGAGAAGACCCUAUAGAUCUUGAUAAUUUUUUAAUAUGGUUUAUUUAGGGGUUUUUAAUAAUAAUUACUUAUAUUAUUUUGUUGGGGUGACUUGGAGAUUAAAUUAACUCUCUUAUUUAUUUUUUACAUUAAUUUAUGGCUAUUUGAUCCUUUAGUAAAGAUUAAUAAAUUAAGUUACCUUAGGGAUAACAGCGUAAUUCUUUUGGAGAGUUCUUAUCGAUAAAAGGGAUUGCGACCUCGAUGUUGGAUUAAGAGAUACCGCUGGGUGCAGAAGCUUAGCAGAGUUAGUCUGUUCGACUAUUAAUUUCUUACAUGAUCUGAGUUCAAACCGGAGA
rnacentral:rRNA from 1 species